rnacentral:sRNA from 1 species
ACUCGUUUAGUGAUGACGACUUAAAGAUGAUCUGUAAACGGUUGUCUCCUCUUGCUCCUGAAAGGGAGAUACAACAGCUAGUUGAAUUUGUCUCUUCGUUAAAUAUUAAAAUAACGAACGAACGACUCCUGGGAACUACUGGAGGACCUUGGGAAAUAAAUUUGCGAGAUAUUUCAAGAUGGCUCAGACUUCUUGAAUCCACUCCAAUCCGAGUUUCUCCUUCUCAGUUCCUCGAUGUUGUGAUUAGCCAGAGAUUUCGCACACAUGGUGACAGAUCCCUCGUUUUGUCAUUGUACGAGGAUGUCUUCCAAUCGACACCUGUUGUUAAAAGCUAUUUCCAUAACCUGAGCGUGUCGCAAUACCAAGUUGGCCUUAGUAUACUUCAACGCGACCCGCUGGUGCAAAAUUUCAAUGAUCCUCAGAUGAAGAUACUCACCGGCGAUCUAGCAAUUAUGGAAUCAUUGGCAUUGUGCAUAGAGCAAGGAUGGCCCAGUAUUCUCGUGGGCACAUCAGGAUGUGGGAAGACGACCAUUUUGCGGAAGCUUGCCACUUUGAGUGGUUGCAAGCUUGUGGAAUUGGCACUAAACGCGGACACUGAUACUAUGGAUCUUGUUGGGGGCUUUGAGCAGGUAGACAAUGACCGCCAUCUGCUAUGUUUCAUGGAUGAAUUGAGCCAGCUUUUGCAAAAUCAAGUUGUUUCUACAUACACCGCAACCGAACAGACCCGUAUGGACAGUGAGCUUGUGCAACUUUACCAAGACGUCAAGAGCGGGUCAUCUAAUCUUGAAACAAUUUCGGAGGCACUUCAUAGAAUUUCACUCAAGGGAUUACAUCCGAGCUUCACAGAGUUUUACCAACGUUCUAAAACACUGCUAAAAUCAUCCUUUGUUAACCAGACGAUCGGCUUCGAAUGGACGGAAGGCAUAUUUGUCCAAUCAGUCCAGAAAGGUGAUUGGGUGGUCCUUGACAAUGCCAACCUCUGUAAUCCCUCCGUUUUAGAUCGACUAAAUUCACUCAUGGAACCGAACGGGCAUU